rnacentral:lncRNA from 1 species
CAACGUUCAAAAAAUCCUUUCCAGGUUUUAAUUAAAACAAUCGAUUAUAGGAAAUCAACAAUCGAUUACUCAGCAACGUUCAAAAAUUCCUUUUCAGAUUUUAAUUAAAACAAUCGAUUAUAGGAAAGCAAUAACCGAUUACCUGACGGUAUUUGAAAAUAUUUUGGCAACGGUCAGUCAUACAAUCGAUUAUAUUAAGUUAACAAUCGAUUAUAUAUCAGUCUUGAAAAAUCAAUUUAGACACUGCCUCUUGACAAUCGAUUGUUAUAGGUUCACNNN